GCUACUGAGGAAAUGUCUUUUGUAGGAAGCAUGUGUAUCUGCCUCUGAAACACAAUGGGUACCCACUGCCUCCUGUGGGACACAGAGAACAAACUGCUCACUGCCAAAAGUGUAGCUAAGUACAGACAGACUCUCAGGUUAUGGUGAAGACGGUUUUCAGAGUUGUGAAGGCUUUAAGGAUUGGUCCAUGUUCUGCUCUGCGGACUGGACAGAACCCCAGCAGGAUGGCAGUGGGUUUUCAGACUGGGGUGCAUUCCAGGACAGAACCAGAAAAGAGGAAUAAUUAACGCUACCCUUGGCUGAAGCAGGAACUUCCGAGCUUCCUAAAAACACUGAAAAUGGUGAAAACGGGAAUCCCCGUUUAGUUGUUAAUGGCUGCUUUCAAGUUGGGGGGACCGAGAAAGACCCUGUCAUGAUGGAAAUCCCUACAUUUGUCUGUGCUACAUCAGAGCACAUUAGACAAGCCCUCUCGGUCUGCAGCGAUAUCAAGCGAAGCUGCAAAUUUCUGGUGUCAUCUACAGUCUGGGUCUAAAUUUCUCCAGCUUCACCUCAGCGACAGCACUAGCCAAACGAGCACACAAACGGUAAAGAUGACGAGGAGUUUCAAUAGAACAACAGAGAGCUGUGGUCAGAGGAGAUGUUGUCACUUGUCAGUAAAAACUAAUUUUCCUGGCAGCUGUUAUACUGCGUGUGUGCUGUAGCUUGUAUCAUUUCAUAUUAAAGCGCUAAUGAAACUAAGAAUAUGCAUGUAAGAGCCGCAUCACAUCACAUUCAGGAGGGGCAGAUCUUAAAGUAAUAGCAGCAAAAUAACAAACCAGCUGCUGGGAUAUCUGUUCAUCAAAAAACAAAAGAAAAAAGAGGAAAUCAGUAACUUAACUAUUAACUGUUUGACCUUUGAAAAAUGUCAAUCUGGUUUUAAAUCCUGUCACAGUACUGAGUCAGCUCUUUUAAGAGUUUUGACUGAUACUAUGGUAAUUACUGACUCUGGGCAGUCUAUGGCUCUGGUUCUGUUAGACCUUGGUUCUGCCUUUGAUUGAUUUAGUUUAUCAUAAUACACUUAUAUCACAUCUUGAAACGUGUUGUUCAGGGCACAGUGUCUUCAUGGCACAGUGUUGAAGUGGUUUGUUCACAUAUCACUAAUAAGAGGUAUGUUGUUAGUAUUGGAAACCAAUCCUCAUCUGAGAUAUAUUUAAAGUCUGGUGUCCCUCAGGGCUCAAUUCUUGGUCCGGUACUGUUGUCUCUUUAUAUGCUUCCUCUAGGAUCUAUUUUUUAAAAGUAUGGGGCCUCUUUUCAUCUGUAUGCUGACGACACACAAAUCUACAUCCAUUUGAAGCGCAAUAACAAACAGGCUUUAAAGCCUAUUUUAGUCUGGACACACAAAAACUUUGGCUUACAAGUAAUUUCCUAAGCCUCAAUGAAAGUAACACUGAAUUUAUUUUAUUUGGCUAAAAUGAACACUGUGUACAUGAUUUUGAAUCUGAAUCUUAAAUUUGAUAAGCAGAUAAGUGUGGUGGUCAAGUCCUGUUUUUAUCAUCUUCAUCUCUGACAAAGGUGAACCCCUUUUUUUUCUCUAAAGAAGUUUGAAAUGGUUAUGCAUGUUUUUGUAACAUCUCAAUUGGAUUACUACAACUCAGUUAUGUGUUUCUCGCCUGCAGUUGGUUCAGAAUGCACCAGCUCGGCUUCUUUAUGGGAAGUGCAAACAUGAGUCUAUCACACCAGUUUUGAUUUGAUUGCAUUGGCUGCCAGUCAAACAGAAUUGAUUUUAAAAUGUUACUGUUUGUCUAUAAAUCUCUCCACAGUUCCUACAUUAUCUGAUUUGUUACAUCCAUACACUCAGUCAAGAGCACUCAGAUCUGCCGAUUCUGGUUUAUUACAAGUCCCCAGGGCACGUCUCAAAAACAGAGGUGAUCGUGCUUUUUCUGUUGUUUGCCCAAAGUUGUCCCAAUUCAUAUCAGAACUGCCUCAACUCAGUCUAUUAAGUCUGCUCUAAACUUAUUUCUUCUCCUUGGCAUUUAAUUUUUUGACUUGCUGUGCAAUAAUACUUUAUUUUAGUGAACCUCAUCCAUUUCACAGUGUCUGUGUUUUAGAGUUUGUGUUUUAUUGUUUAUUAACUUUGCAUUCUCUGUGCAGCACUUUGGUUGACUUUGGUUGUUUUAAAUGUGCUAUAUAAAUAAACAUUAUAAUGCAUUGUAACUUUUGUAGCUGUAAGGAUUCAUCUAUAUUUAAUUUAGAAUUUAGUAUUUGAUAACUUUAUUAAAUUUCUGUAUAUUUAUUUCUUGCUGAAGGGCACAGGUAAAUAUGAUA